GUGGAGAAUGAGACACUGAAUCAGGAGAAAGAAAUUGGAUUGGACAACACAGACCGCUGAUGCGCUGGGAUUUAAACAUCGUGAAAAGGAUUAAAGAGUCAGCCGUCAGUGCGAAUCAGCCCUGUGGACGACAAGCAGCAGUGUUUGGAUCCAUGAACCAGCAAAUCCAAAAGACAACCCGUGGCUUCAUAUCCAGGCCACACAACGACUGGCUCCCACCAAAGAUCACAGCUUCAAUCAACAGAAGCUGAACCAGAGUGAAUUUAAGCUUGUAAGCAUCCUGUACAAAAGUAAUUUGCUCUAACUCUGGCUGUAUGGAGCCAGGGCUCAGCAGCUCUGCCAUGGUGUUAUUGUUGUCCACCUGACAUAGAUGAGUGGGUCUGUGUCUAUCAGGAAAGGGUUUGCUGCAGCCAAAGAAGAUAUGUAUGCAAACAUUUCCCUACUUAAUCUUAGAGACACUGACUCAUUUGAAACACACAGCCAUUCAGGCU